rnacentral:rRNA from 1 species
UGCCAGCCGCCGCGGUAAGACAGGAGGAGCAAGUGUUAUUCAGAAUUAUUGGGCGUAAAGGGCAUGCAGGUGGAUGAUUGGAGUUGAUUGUGCCAUUCCAAUGGGAUGCAUUGGGUUUGCAAUCAAUACUCUUCAUCUUGAGGUCAAAAGAGGAAAAUAGAAUUUCUAGUGGAGAGGUUAAAUUCUUAGAGAUUAGAAGGAAUAUCUAAAGCGAAGGCAAUUUUCUGGUUUGAACCUGACACUGAGGUGCGAAAGCGUGGGGAGCGAACAGGAUUAGAUA